GUGGGGAAUAUUGGACAAUGGGCGAAAGCCUGAUCCAGCAAUGCCGCGUGAGUGAAGAAGGCCUUAGGGUUGUAAAGCUCUUUUACCCGGGAUGAUAAUGACAGUACCGGGAGAAUAAGCUCCGGCUAACUCCGUGCCAGCAGCCGCGGUAAUACGGAGGGAGCUAGCGUUGUUCGGAAUCACUGGGCGUAAAGCGCACGUAGGCGGCUUUGUAAGUUAGAGGUGAAAGCCCGGGGCUCAACUCCGGAACUGCCUUUAAGACUGCGUCGCUUGAAUCUGGGAGAGGGAAGUGGAAUUCCGAGUGUAGAGGUGAGAUUCGUAGAUAUUCGGAAGAACACCAGUGGCGAAGGCGGCUUACUGGACCAGAAUUGACGCUGAGGUGCGAAAGCGUGGGGAGCAAACAGGAUUAGAUACCCUAGUAGUCC
rnacentral:rRNA from 1 species